GUUGGUAGGCUGCCUACUACACCGUGUCAAUGCGCAUCAUGCAACAAUGUUAUGCAUUUUCUGUCGCAAUUAUUUUCAGGACAUGAUCAUUAGGCCUGUAUUUACAUCUUCUCGCAAGUAUUUACAUUAAGUCGGUAACAAUAUGGGCUACACCUGGGUGUAUUCAUUACGGAAACGUUUGCCACUUAAGAACCAAGUGAAACGGUGAGGGACCAACCUCAAUUUUUACAACCUUCUCGUUUGUGUUUUCUGUCUGGUGUAAACUGUUCUGUUGCAAAACGUUUUGUAACAGAAUCUGCUUGACGAUUACACCCGCGGAGAUGACACUACUCUGAUCCCUGAGGACUGGUUUCCCAUCCUUGCUCUAGGCCUAAAGAUGACUGACUUGUUAAACGAAAUGUUCAACAUGACAUUAUCCAACGCCUCACAUACUUGACAUUUUAGAGAAUUCAUCAGAAUAAAUUAGGCCUACAUGGCAAAUGGGACUACUCUACAUUUCUAAGCUAUUAUGUCACUCUUCUGUAAACUGUACUCACUAAUUCAGGUUUUGGCGCUGUUUAUCUCGCAGAUAGGUUGUUAAUUCUAUAAAUUAGAUGUCAUUAUUAUUUUGACAUGUGCUGAUAGCUGUGUUACCAACAAUUUAUCAACCACGUGAGUAUAGGAACCUCGUAUAAAAUAGGUUAGUCACUGUAAAACAUCAAUACGGCAUUGUGAUUGUUUAAAAGUGUAUUGGCGCCUUGCGUUCUACUUCAACCACUGAUGCAGUAUGGUAAGACAGGAUGGUUGUGGGUGUUAGACAUCACUACAUCAUGAGCAGCUACUUGACCUUUUAGAGAAAUGUACCUUGACUCAAUUACUGUUUGUUAGUAAAGAGGUGUGAUGACAUGCAACACUCUUCCCUGAGGACGGUUCCUAUUGAGUUUACGGAAAAGGGAAGACUUUAUUUGUGGUAUAUUCUCUAAAAUGAUUGAGUGAUGACUUUGCUGUUGAGGGAGCAAGCUCUGUUGGUAGAGCAUGGUGCUAAAGCCUGACAUCUUGGGUCUGUAAUAGAAUCUGUUCUCUCAGAUCACUUAACACCCUGAAACUGAUGUCUGACUAUUGUACCAGAAAUUGAUUAUUUCAGUAGUUAAACCAUGUCUCUUAUUUUGUAGUGAUCAGGGCAAAGGUGGUUGGCGUGAAAGCUGUGUCUGGUAACACCAACUAUGAUGUCAAACAGAUCGAGGUAUGAUCAGCCUUUUUAUUAAGUGGUUGUUCCUUCCUGCACUGAAACAUUGAAGCCCCCUGAACCCCAGUCUGACAGCUAGUCCCAAUUUGGACCCAAGCCUUAAAUGAUUGAAGAUCUGGAUAGGUAUAAGCAGUGUAAUUGUGGAGCUUCCACCAUUAAUAAAAAGGGGUUAUUUAUAGAAAUGAGUCAUGCCUUUAGCACUGAGCAAGAGGCAUGUUUCAGUCAAUCCUCCUACCAGUCCUAGACAAUGGUGACAUCAUCUAUAUUAAUUCAGAUGCCACUUCAUUAAAGCAGUUUGUUGCAGUUUAUCAUAGUGCACUGCUCUUUAUUAUGGGCGACAGGUCUAGUACUCAACGCUACAUUCUCAACUAGGAAGUUGGUCCUGUUUGAUGUCACGUAGGUUGACGCAUUGCAAUAUUUUAAUGUAUUAAUCCCUUUACGAAACCUCACUAAAAGCAUUACUAACCUUUAGACAUGAGUUACCACACCUGGGAUGAAUAACUUUGGAAAUUUCCUUCGGUCUUUACUCCGUUAGGUAAAUAUAUUUUUUUGUGCCUUGUUGUAAAACUGUCUGCUGCAUCUACGGCAAUUCAAAGUGUUGAGGACCUUAUUACUGAAUGUUUGUUUAUGACUGCUUCUGUUCUGCUUGUAUUUUGAUGUGUAAUUCAGGGCUCCUCUGUAAAAGAGACCAGUGAGGUUAAGUUGUCCCUACAUGCCAUAUAGAACAAACUAUAUAUGUAGAUGUUUGACGGAUCCUUUCUCUCCUUGUGAUUGGCUAGAUGUUCAAAGGUCCUAACCAGGAUAUCCACGUCAUCUUCACUGGAGGCCCGUGCCGCGCCUUUCUGGAAAUCAACAAGGAGUAUUUCUUCACAGGCAGGCUGAAUACUGAUGGAACAGUGCAUGUAAUAAUGUGUGACUUCAUUCAGUCCUGGGGGGCUUUGAGUGACACACAAAUGAGGAGCUUGACUCUGCGCUACCAAAGCGGCUGUGAUUGCACGAUCAUCCGCUGCACUUCCCUUCCCUGUCCAAUCAGCACCUCUCAUGAGUGCCUGUGGAUGGACAUUGGCCAAAACGGACCCUGGGACAAUAACAUUGCCUGUAUCAAGGGGGGUGAUGGAUCCUGUGCCUGGUAAAAGGGGAUGGCACCGGCCAAGUAGUUUCUGGAUAUUGAUGGCCUGUAAGUUUAGGGGUCAUCUACUCACAGGAAAGAAAGCUACCAACCCAAAUAAUUAUGAUUAAAUGAAUCUAGGAAGUAGUUUCUAACAAUUACAAGACCUAUAUUGACUUGUCAAGUUGUGUUGUCAGAGGACAGGUUGCAGGAAAUGGUCAAUGUGAAAGAGGGCAACAAUCUUAUGAAAAUGUCACUUGUUGUAAAAGUACA